rnacentral:rRNA from 1 species
GAUGAACGCUAGCGGCAGGCCUAAUACAUGCAAGCUGAACGGUAAAUGUUGUAGCAAUACAAUAUGAGAGUAGCGUAAGGGUGCGUAACACGUAUGCAAUCUACCCGCAACAGGAGGAUAGCUCCCCGAAAGGGGAAUUAAUACUCCAUAAGAUCACGAGAAGGCAUCGGAUUGUGAUUAAACUCCAAGGGGUUGCGGAUGAGGAUGGGCAUGAUUAGUUAGUUGGCUGGGUAACGGCCCACCAAGACGAUGAUCAUUAGGGGAACUGAGAGGUUGGUCCCCCACACUGGCACGGAGAUACGGGCCAGACUCCUACGGGAGGCAGGAGUAGGGAAUAUUGGUCAAUGGGUGAAAGCCUGAACCAGCCAUGCAGGGUGCAGGAAGAAAGCCUUCUGGGUUGUAAUCUGCUUUUAUCUGGGGAUAAAAUACCCGUGCGCGGGGAAUUGAAGGUACCAGAUGAAUAAGCCACGGCUAACUACGUGCCAGCCGCCGCAGUAAGAC